GAUGAACGCUGGCGGCGUGCCUAAUACAUGCAAGUCGAGCGAACAGACGAGGAGCUUGCUCCUCUGACGUUAGCGGCGGACGGGUGAGUAACACGUGGAUAACCUACCUAUAAGACUGGGAUAACUUCGGGAAACCGGAGCUAAUACCGGAUAAUAUAUUGAACCGCAUGGUUCAAUAGUGAAAGACGGUUUUGCUGGCACUUAUAGAUGGAUACGGGCAGGAUUACUUGGUUGGUAAGGUAAAGGAUUACCAAGGAACUAUGCGUAGCCCACCUGAGAGGGUGAUCGCCCACACUGUCACUGAGACACAGUCCACACUCCUACAGUAGGCAGCAGUAGGGAAUCUUCCGCAAUGCACCAAAACCUAAUGUAGCAACACCGCGUGAGUCAUGAAGGUCUUCUGAUCCUAAAACUCUGUUAUUAUUAAAGAACAAAUGUUUAAUUAACUAUGCACAUCUUGACGGUACCUAAUCAGAAAGCCACGGCUAACUACGUG
rnacentral:rRNA from 1 species